rnacentral:rRNA from 1 species
UACGUAGGGUGCAAGCGUUGUCCGGAAUUAUUGGGCGUAAAGAGCUCGUAGGCGGUCAGUCGCGUCUGCUGUGAAAACUCGGGGCUUAACUCCGGGCCUGCAGUGGGUACGGGCAGACUAGAGUGCGGUAGGGGAGACUGGAAUUCCUGGUGUAGCGGUGAAAUGCGCAGAUAUCAGGAGGAACACCGAUGGCGAAGGCGGGUCUCUGGGCCGUAACUGACGCUGAGAAGCGAAAGCGUGGGGAGCGAACAGG